rnacentral:sRNA from 1 species
UCUCUUUCUCUCUCUCUCUCUUCCUCUAUUU